CCUUUCCUCCCUUCCCUUCACAGGUUGCCCCAUAGUGACCCUGGAGACUCCCGCCUGCCCCCAGUGAAGGAAUUGGUUACUCUCCCAGAGCCCUCCCGGGCAUCGCCCCCUUCCUCACUUCCUCCUCUUCCUGCCCCCAGCCUCUACCCCUCCAGCCUCCUGUGGCUUCACAGGCAAGUGCCGCAUCCCAGGAAGAAGGAGUUGGAGCUCCGUGAUGUUCUGGAAGCUGAGAAGUCUAAGGUCAAGACUCCAGUGGAUUACGCAUCUGGCGAGAGCCUACUUCCUGGUUUGUAGG
rnacentral:lncRNA from 10 species